rnacentral:rRNA from 1 species
GAUGAACGCUGGCGGCGUGCCUAAUACAUGCAAGUCGAGCGAAUGGAUUAAGAGCUUGCUCUUAUGAAGUUAGCGGCGGACGGGUGAGUAACACGAGGGUAACCUGCCCAUAAGACUGGGAUAACUCCGGGAAACCGGGGCUAAUACCGGAUAACAUUUUGAACCGCAUGGUUCGAAAUUGAAAGGCGGCUUCGUCUGUCACUUAUGGAUGGACCCGCGUCGCAUUAGCUAGUUGGUGAGGUAACGGCUCACCAAGGCAACGAUGCGUCGCCGACGUGAGAAGGUUAACCGACACACUGGACUGAGACACGGGCGAGAAUCCUACGGGCGGCAGCAGUAGCGGAUCUUCCGCAGUGGACGAAGGUCUGACGGGGCAACGCCGCGUGAGUGAUGAAGGCUUUCGGGUCGUAUAACUCUGUUGUUAGGGAAGAACAAGUGCUAGUUGAAUAAGCUGGCACCUUGACGGUACCUAACCAGAAAGCAACGGCUAACUACGUGGCAGCAGCCGCGGUAA